UGCCCCCUGAGCUCAGUUGGUAGAGCAGCAGACUGAAAAUCUGCGUGUCUGGAGUUCAAUUCUCCGAGGUGGCAA
rnacentral:tRNA from 1 species